UACAGAGGUCUCAAGCGUUGUUCGGAUUUACUGGGCGUAAAGGGUGCGUAGGUGGCGGGGUAAGUCUGGUGUGAAAGCUCCGAGCUCAACUCGGAAAAGCAUUGGAAACUAUCCCGCUGGAGGGUCGGAGGGGAGACGUGGAAUUCUCGGUGUAGCAGUGAAAUGCGUAGAUAUCGAGAAGAACACCAGUGGCGAAGGCGAGUCUCUGGACGACUCCUGACACUGAGGCA
rnacentral:rRNA from 1 species